rnacentral:rRNA from 1 species
AGCGAACGCUGGCGGCGUGCCUAACACAUGCAAGUCGAACGUGAAAGGGAGCAAUCCCAAGUAAAGUGGCGUACGGGUGAGUAACACGUAGGUAAUCUACCCCAGAAUCUGGAAUAACCGGCCGAAAGGCUGGCUAAUACUGGAUAGAGCGACGGAAUCCGUAAUUGGGUUUUUCGGGAAAGGGAGCCUGUAAAAAGGCCUUCGUUCUGGGAUGAGCCUGCGUCCCAUCAGCUAGUUGGUGAGGUAAAAGCUUACCAAGGCAAUGACGGGUAGCUGGUCUGAGAGGACGAUCAGCCACACUGGAACUGAAACACGGUCCAGACGCCUACGGGAGGCAGCAGUGGGGAAUCUUGCGCAAUGGACGAAAGUCUGACGCAGCAACGCCGCGUGAGCGAAGAAGGCCUUCGGGUUGUAAAGCUCUGUCGAGUGGGACGAAAAUGCUUGGAGUUCACAGCUCCAGGAACUGACGGUACCACUAAAGGAAGCACCGGCUAACUCCGUG